rnacentral:rRNA from 1 species
AGCGUUGUCCGGAUUUAUUGGGCGUAAAGCGAGCGCAGGCGGUUUUUUAAGUCUGAUGUGAAAGCCUUCGGCUUAACCGGAGAAGUGCAUCGGAAACUGGGAGACUUGAGUGCAGAAGAGGACAGUGGAACUCCAUGUGUAGCGGUGGAAUGCGUAGAUAUAUGGAAGAACACCAGUGGCGAAGGCGGCUGUCUAGUCUGUAACUGACGCUGAGGCUCGAAAGCAUGGGUAGCGAACAGGAUUAGAUACCCUGGUAGUCCAUGCCGUAAACGAUGAGUGCUAAGUGUUGGAGGGUUUCCGCCCUUCAGUGCUGCAGCUAACGCAUUAAGCACUCCGCCUGGGGAGUACGACCGCAAGGUUGAAACUCAAAGGAAUUGACGGGGGCCCGCACAAGCGGUGGAGCAUGUGGUUUAAUUCGAAGCUACGCGAAGAACCUUACCAGGUCUUGACAUCUUCUGCCAAUCUUAGAGAUAAGACGUUCCCUUCGGGGACAGAAUGACAGGUGGUGCAUGGUUGUCGUCAGCUCGUGUCGUGAGAUGUUGGGUUAAGUCCCGCAACGAGCGCAACCCUUAUUAUCAGUUGCCAGCAUUCAGUUGGGCACUCUGGUGAGACUGCCGGUGACAAACCGGAGGAAGGUGGGGAUGACGUCAAAUCAUCAUGCCCCUUAUGACCUGGGCUACACACGUGCUACAAUGGACGGUACAACGAGUCGCGAAGUCGUGAGGCUAAGCUAAUCUCUUAAAGCCGUUCUCAGUUCGGAUUGUAGGCUGCAACUCGCCUACAUGAAGUUGGAAUCGCUAGUAAUCGCGGAUCAGCAUGCCGCGGUGAAUACGUUCCCGGGCCUUGUACACACCGCCCGUCA